CGCCCGGGUGACUAUGGCAACGAUAGAGGGCUGGGGGAGAGAGCCAGAGAGGAACUGAGGAGAAAUAAAACGUCGCAGCAUUGUAGCAGCCACUGGCACCAGAGGAAGAUUAGGGUCUCGCUCGCUUUCUCUCCCUCUCUUUUUUAAGGGAGUAUUAGAACAAUAAUGAAGAUGUGCCAUUAUAAAUCAACAAAAGAGGCCAAAGCAUCCCUCACACAGUGCAGGUGUCGAGACAAUCGAGCUCACCACAGAAUCGGAAAGUUUAUCCCACCUCGCGGCAAAGAUCAGCAGGACUGUAACUAGCCUAGGGUGAAUAGAGGCUUAUUCCCGAGGCACUGACAUCUGAAGAGGGACACUUCCUCCUUGGGAGUAGAGACUUCCUCCCUGGGGCAACCAUUUUUUCCAUCACCUCGCCUUAGGGUCCUCUGUACCAUCACCGCGGUGUCCUGCCCUUUCCCCUUAACUUCUGCAGGGGAUAAGGGCUAGACCUCUCCUUUUCUCAAUAAAUUGCGUCUGGAAUCUUUUUGCCGCCAAGCUCA